UACGUAGGGUGCGAGCGUUAAUCGGAAUUACUGGGCGUAAAGUGUGCGCAGGCGGCCGCGCAAGUCGAGUGUGAAAGCCCCGAGCUUUAACUUGGGAAUUGCGCUCGAAACUACGUGGCUGGAGUGUGGCAGAGGAAGGUGGAAUUCCACGUGUAGCGGUGAAAUGCGUAGAGAUGUGGAGGAACACCGAUGGCGAAGGCAGCCUUCUGGGCCAACACUGACGCUCAUGCACGAAGCGUGGGAGCAACAGG
rnacentral:rRNA from 1 species